rnacentral:rRNA from 1 species
UACAGAGGGGGCAAGCGUUAUUCGGAAUUAUUGGGCGUAAAGGGCGCGUAGGCGGCUUUGCAAGUGACGGGUGAAAUCCCUCGGCUCAACCGAGGAACUGCAUCCGAUACUGGCGGGCUUGAAUCCGGGAGAGGGAUGUGGAAUUCCAGGUGUAGCGGUGAAAUGCGUAGAUAUCUGGAGGAACACCGGUGGCGAAGGCGGUCUGCUGGGCAGUGGACCCGUGAGGGUCCAAUAGCCGACACGUGAUGCGCGACAGCGUGGGGAGCAACAGG